UACGGAGGAUCCGAGCGUUAUCCGGAUUUAUUGGGUUUAAAGGGUGCGCAGGCGGGAGAUUAAGUCGGCGGUGAAAUUUUGCAGCUCAACUGUAAAAGUGCCUUCGAAACUGGUUUCCUUGAGUGUAGAUGAAGUAGGCGGAAUUUGUGGUGUAGCGGUGAAAUGCAUAGAUAUCACGAGAAACUCCGAUUGCGCAGGCAGCUUACUAAACUACUACUGACGCUCAUGCACGAAGGCGUGGGAUCAAACAGGAUUAGAUACCCU
rnacentral:rRNA from 1 species